AUGACCACCGAGGCUGAGGGCUUGGGCAGGGCUGCGCUGGGCGUGGCUGGACCCCCGCCCCCGGCACUGGGCAAUGCCCAUGUCCCCGCAGCUGUUCACCCCAAACCCAACGGCCCCACGCCUGGCAGGGAGGCGGCAUGUGGGCAAGCGGACGCCCCGGGCCGGGCCCAUCUGCAGCGGUGCCCACCUCUUCGGGGAGGCCUCCUGGAUGCCUGCCUGCCCACUCCACCUGCUGCCGCUUCCAGCCCCAACACCACCCCCAGCCCUGACCCAUCAGCCCCAUUGGGGGUGCCCCUGGAGCCCCUGGUCCCGGCGUUUCUAUGGCAGCCACCACCACGGAUGCAAGUCGCCUCAAGGAACUUUAAUGAAAGCGUCAGCAGUCUUUCCCUCCCCUCCCUCUGUGGUGGGAGAGACAGCCGAGCUGGAACUCAAGACACACGGCCGCCUAGAGACCCACCACUGGCCCCAGCGUGCGGCCGGGCUCCAGACGCCGGGCCCAGGGCGGCGAGGUGGAGUCCGGCCACUGAGCCUCGUGGAAGGUCACGUCCGGCCCCCAGGCGGUCACCCGCCCACCGGCUUCGGAGAUGCCUGGGGACUCAGAGCGACCGCCGCGAAGGUGGGCCAGUGAAGGAACGCCUCGACAGCCGUGGAAGAAAGAAGUCAUCCCACCACGCGACAGCGCGCAUCCUAAGUAAAGGAAAAGCUGAAACAGGGGGAGGAGGUGCGGCAGGGAACCGGAAUUGGCAGACGCUGAGACGGCUUUCCAGUUUCAACGUGAUGGGUGCAGAUCAUGAAGGCUCCAGGGAAACAGAGACCAGGCCACGGCUUUCCAGGCAGAGUGCGUUCCCUCGGCAGGGCUGGACGGGGACACGGGACGGGGCCCGGGCAGUGCCCCCCCGUGACUGGUCUAAUCCUGUGGCAAACCAACGCCUUUUCCUGAGUUGGUGCCUCUGCUACCCUUCUCUGGUUCAGCGCAUCCUCUCUUCCAGCGCAAGUCCAGCCUGGAAACUUCGCCUGUUUCUUUUCUCCUUGCCCCCACCCUUCUUAGAAAGAGGCGAUGCAAUUCUUCACAGACGCACGUCUUCAAACUACCUAGAGGUGUCCCCAGUUCUGUCUUCUAAGUCAGACGGUCGGGAGGGUAACCAGCCACGUGCUGGCUUCAGCACAGGGGCGCGGAGUGUGUGUGCCGGGCAGGGUCGGCCCCUCUACCUGCUCUGGGGCAGGCGGCCCCACCCUCGGCCUGUUCCCAACCUCUCCCCCCAAUUCCGGGUGCCCAGGAGACUUCCGGAGCAGCUCCCGAUGGAAAGAGGGCUGCCGUGUGGAGGAAGACGAGAUGCCGCUGUGGACACCGCGUGUCCACAGAGUACAUUCUAACAUCUUAGUGGGUGUCUGAAUCUUUUUAGGAAAAAAAAAAAUUAGAAACUGUAUAAAACUCAAAAAUAUUCAAGUAUCAAAAGGCUAUCCGAAUCAAAGUUUAAAACAAGCUGCCGCUACCACCAAGAGAGGAAAACCUUUACAAGAGUCUGUGGGGCGCGAGCGGCGAGGGGGCGCAGCCCAUCUGGGUGUCAGGGGUUUGGGGGGGCGCGGUGUGAUCAGGGGACUGGGAGGGCAGGGGGCAGACGCGCCAAGGGUCGGAGGAGGCCGGCGACCUUCUGGACGGUCCGCCCUCCCCCGACGAGCAGCGGCCAAGUGCGCAG
ensembl:lincRNA